rnacentral:rRNA from 16 species
ACCAUUUAAAGAGUGCGUAAUAGCUCACUGGUCGAGGAGUCCGGCGCCGAGAAUGAUUGGGGAUAAGCGUCGAGCCGAAGCCGCGGACACGCAAGUGUGGUAGGAGAGCGUUCCUGUCGGCGUUGAAGCGUGCCCGAAAGGGCCCGUGGAGCGUCAGGAAGUGAAUAUCCGAGCUUGAGUAACGAUAAAGCAGGUGAGAAUCCUGCUCGCCGAAAACCUAAGGUUUCCUGGGGAAGGUAAAUCCGCCCAGGGUUAGUCGGAUCCUAAGGCGAGGCUGAAAGGCGUAGUCGAUGGGAAACAGGUUAAUAUUCCUGUACCGGCUUCUGGCGACAAAGACACGAUGGGGUGACGGGGAGACGCACGUGAGCAGGUGAAUAGUUGUACCUGUGCAAGCCUGCGGGGUGGCAGUAGGUAAAUCCGCUGCCGUACGCCUCGGGGGUGAUGCCGAGCUCUAGCGAGCGAAGUCAUGGAAGGCUCCUCCAAGAAAAACCUCUAGUGAGCCAGCGGCCGACCGUACCGCAAACCGACACAGGUGGGUGGGGUGAGUAUCCUAAGGCGCUCGAGAGAACCACCGUUAAGGAACUCGGCAAAAUUGCUCCGUAACUUCGGGAUAAGGAGAGCCAGCCGUGGUGAAGCGACUUGCUCGCGGAGCUGCAGCUGGCCGCAGAGAAAUGGCCCAAGCGACUGUUUACCAAAAACACAGGUCUGUGCCAAGUCAUACCGACGCUGUAUACAGACUGACGCCUGCCCAAUGCUGGAAGGUCAAAUGGACUUGUUAGCCGUAAGGCGAAGCUCGGAAAUGAAGCCCCAGUGAAUGGCGGCCGUAACUAUGACGGUCCUAAGGUAGCGAAGUUCCUUGUCGGGUAAGUUCCGACCCGCACGAAAGGCGUAACGACUUGGGCACUGUCUCGACGGUGGACUCGGUGAAAUUGUAAUCGUGGUGAGAAUACCACGUACCCACGCCAGGACGAAAAGACCCCGUGAACCUUUACUGUAGGCUG